ACAGAAACAACCCUUUUCUAUCAAGUUAGCAAAACUUUUCCUCGCUGUGUCCUCCGCCUUGACUCUGCCUCUGCAUUUUUUCUUCAUUAGCCAAUAGCCCUAAUGUGGGAAAAGUCUUUUGUCAAACAUGCAGGGAUUUUGCAAGUACUUUACAACUCCCACAUGUCAUCUUCCCUCCUGAGGCAGGAAAACAAUUCAGUCACAUUCUCCUUACAUCUGGACAGAAAAGCUGGUAGGAAUGAAUAAGAAAAGCAGCGUGGUUUUGCAAACCAUUCAGCUUGUCCUAGCUGCAGAAACCCUCCAGCCCCUUUCUCCAACCAACCUUUUCAUUCCUAGAACACCCACUCCUCUUUUGCCCCUGCUUUUCUCCCAGUGAGAGACUGGCCAGGGCACACACAAACACAGCACUCGCUUCGGUGGCUUUUUGGGCAGCGCAAUCCUUUCCAAACUUCUACUCCCCCCUGUGGCAGCUUGACGGGAAAAAAGAAAUAGAAAGUGCACUUCCCAAGUCAUGCACUCCACUGUCACUCUUUGCAAGCCAUUUAUCCGGAAAAAUAAAGAUACGUGAAGGUUUAGGUCAGUGGCUGCACUGUGCUUAUGAAGCCCUCCAGAGGCAUUACAGACCUAUACAGUAAGCCAACUCCUCCACUUCCUUUGGAAGGACUGUGUAAACAGAAAAGCCCACUACACCAAGGUCAGUGAACUGAGGUUGCAUCAAAAAUGGGGGAGACAUUUACCUCUUUUCUUUUCUCUGCAAAGAAACCACUCUGUCACCCACACAUGUAAAAGUAUUGAUCCUAUCCCAUCAGACAACAUGGAAAAUGUAUCCCACAGGAUUCUCCCCAGGUCUCUACUCCACAGCAGCUACAACAAAUAUUAAGAGAUCCCAUAGUUUAUGGCAAAGCAAACUGCAUUUGUUAAGGGAAGUCCCUAAUUUGGUCAAAUCUUAAUUAAACAUUGAUAUCUCAGCUUGGGCGAAAAAACCCUACAAACCCUCAAAACUUACACUGACAGCUCCUGAAAAGAAAGAAGCAGGUUGAAAAACUGAAAACAAGAUCACGUGCAUUGUAGACUAAGCAGAUCUGAUUCAUUCCUGCCCACAUAAUCCACGACAGAGUGGGAGGAAGUAUUCGUCCAGCUGUUUUCCACGUGGUUCCUCUGAGAAUCUCAAAAGGAUUUCUGGUGUAUGUUCUGAGUCAAUCCCUGGCCACAUUUCCUCUCCAGCCAGCAACACUGACUUUUUAUGAAUUGUUAACCAUUUAUGGGACAAUUGUCAAAGGAGUGGUUAGUGACUCACUGCAGCCCUACACAAGCUGACUUACUACAGCAAGAGGCUGCAAACCUCAGUCAAAUCUGAGAAAUAAACAACUGAAAGCUUCUCCCUCCUUACCCACCUUUGCAAGCCAUGGAAGGGUUCUAGCUUACACAGAAAAAUCCAGAACACUGCCAGCCUCCUCACAGAAGUAGUGAAUGCUGCUCCCUGCAGUGCUUCUAAGACCAGAUCUGUGGCAAAUUUUUCGGAAAAAGAUAAACUGAAUCUGAGGCUUGAUAGGCAAAGGGUAUCUGGCUUCACAGUACUCAUAAUCUCAUUUUCCUACAAAUAAUUUUACAUGUGCUUUGAGUACCCCUUUAGAUUAUUCUACUUCCAGUAAUCACUUUGCUGGUUUAAGACCACAUACAUUCACAAAAACUCCAGUUACUUUUUAAGAAUAAAGCCGAGUGCUUAAAGCAGCAUUGUGAGGGACUCUGGAAGUAACAACAUAUUUGCAUUUUAACACAUAAAGAACAACAUUAUGGAAAACAACAAAACUCAAGUUUGCUAAUGGGAAUUGCAUCUGAUGAUUUUGCUUUAGCCCAAUGAGCCUGGACUUUUCAAGUCACAGUAUUAUGAUGGUCAACAGUGCAUUUAGUGAACUACCCAAGUGAUGCCAGCAGAGGAUCUGAACCAGUAUCUUGAGGAACUUGGACUAGGUCCACCAUUUCAGGAGCCAACAUUUCCAUAGGCCCUACACCAUCCUCUGGUUCUCCCUGCCUUCUUUUUCUGGUUCACUUUGGAGAAGAGCUAAUGGCUUUCAUUAGUAAGAUUAGUUGAAGUUAAUUGUCAUGGCUCCAAGGUGAAAGGAGCCACUUGAACCGAGCAGAAAAAAUUGCACAACACGGAUAAGUUGCUUGACAGAUCCUGGAAAAGAUGGUCUUUUCUUUGCCUUUGUUGAUUCAUGAGAUCACGCAUCUCCCCAGAAAAGGAUGAGUAAAAGUUUAGAAAGUGGUUUGCUUCAGAGCCCUUUCUUUCUAUGCCUACAGAUACAUAGAAUAAACUACCAGAUGACUUCUAAGAAAGAGAAAUACCAGGCAACCACAUUCAUGAUGGAAUAAAUCUCUUUAUUUUUAUUCUGUGUCUAUUUCUGAGCUAGCAGAGUAAGUCUUGGAAUCUGCGUUAUAAGCAAAAGCCUACUAACGUAACUUUAACCAGACCUCUCAGAAUUCUGAGAUGUAUUUAUUACAAUUUUAAAGAAAUAUCCUGGUGAGCAUUUUGAGAAAGGAACUAAUUGGCACACUAAACCUGAGGCAAGCCAGAAAUGUCCGAAGCCAGCUACGAGCCUAUCGUGAUGAUAAACAGCUCAGGGUCCAGAUGUCCAUAUAUGGCAAGACUUCCUAUAAGACUGACAGUACUGUAUGUGCAUUGCGUAUGGUUGUUGGAUCAGAUUCACAUUCCUCGGGUAUGUUUCUCUAGGAGCUUUUGAUUUCCGCUUUGAGGGCUGGCUCAGACCUCCAAUUGCUCUUAUAAAAAAAUAUCUGUGACUGAAAGUUGAAAAUGUGCAAGAUUCUUUCUUUAAGUACACAAACACUCCAAGUCUAGCCACUUUCCUGUAGUCUUGCCAGGUUUUCACUAUGUCUGAUACCUGAUCAAGUGACUUUUUGGGGGGAAGCAGGGGAAAAAAAAAAAGAAAAAAAGAAGAAGGAAAAACACAAGACAGGAAUGUAGCAAUCCACACCUGUACAUUUUACAAGACUUCACCAACUGAAGCUGAUGUAGACACACACAUAACUGUAUAUAGCUGUGUAAACAAGUCUGCAAGGCUGGUGUAGUGAAUUCCUAGUUUCAGCAGAAAAAAUAUACUAUCUUAAAAGCAUGUGCUGUAUAAACACCUGCAUGGAAGUCAAAAUUAGUGCAUUUUAACCAUUUUAUGCAUCAGUGCCAAGAUGUACUUGUCCAACCUGCGGCAUACUCAAGAGGCACCUGGAAGUGGCAUCCGCGGAUAUGGUUUAGGGAUGAUUAUGGUGGGGUCACGUUGCCAGCUGGACUAAAUGAUCUUGAAGGUCUCUUCCAACCUUGAGGAUUCUGUGAUUGUCAUCAGAAAGAACAAGCUGAAGACUGAUUGGAGUCUUCAAGAGCUGCCUUUGCUUCUAAGCUCCCUUUGCCCCUGUGCAUACAUACACACACACACCAAUGAGGCACCCAUUGUGACACAUCUGACAACACAGAAAGCAGGAUGACCAAAAGGCACUGCUGCAAACUCUGAUUCUUCCCUACCUGCAUGUGCUGGUACAAUUUGUAAUUUAGUGGGCUAAUGCCUGAUCCACAGUGGUGAAAGACCAGAAUUAGUUCUGAAUUCUAAUAACUAUUCAAGCCGUUUUUCUCAGGGUAGCAAGUGUAUGGGGCUUGGUGUUCUUGGCCUGCAGUGGAGGGACUUAGGACAGAUUUAUCCUUUAAUUUUGGAUUUCCUGGCUUUCUGGUAGUUUGUUACUUUUAAACAUACUUUUUCUGUCACUGAGAUUCUUAGGUUUUGUUUAAUAAAAUGGUAUCUCUGAAAAAAACCUCUUACAUGGAAAGUUAUAAAACAUGUCUAGAGCCUCUCUCUCUCUGAUGUUCUCCUACCAUAUUUAGUCAUUUAAAAAAGGCAUUCUGUUUACCUGGUUACAUUUGCAUUUUGGUAUGCAUGUCAUACAUAGUUUGGUACACAUACUAUUUACCCAGCACUGAGGCCACUGGAGUCCUUCAAGUAAAUACAGAUUUUAGGAGACCUCAUGGUUUUGGGAACAUAUAUUAUUUACCAUAACUGUUCCUCUGAGAUUCAUUUUUUCUUUCAAAGCCAAGCUCAUUUCUUUUAAUGGAGAAUUUCAAGUAGAAGAAAUGACAUCCAAAUGACUUUACCAGACACAGUACAAUGUUGGCAGAAUAUAAGUAGCAGUUUUACAGCACAAUGGUCCUACUGGGACAUUACAUGGAAGACCUUCUUUUCCCCUCAUGAAUCCUGUUUUAUUGCUGCAUCAUAGCAUGGACAAAUGCCUAGAUAUAGAGGGAUGGAAAGAAGUGGGGAGCAAGGGAGAAUGGCAGUGGGGGAAAGCCUGCAUACAAAAGAUGAGAUCUCUUAAGGUAACUACCAGAUUUUAGAUGCAUUAAGCCAGUCUCUCUUACUAAGCACUAACAUACUUCCACAGGUCAAAAGCCAAAACAUUGGCAUUCCUUGCGUUAAAGUGGAGGUCAAACAACAUGACAUCACUGAAUAUUCAAAUCAUACACAGGAGGCAGGGGAAGAGCCAUCCUCACGGUUAAAAAAAGAAAAAGAAAAAAAAAAAA